AACAUUCUGAAUAUAACUAACUUCCUUCCUUCCUGCCUUCCUCCCUCCCUGCCUUCCCUUCCUUCCUGCCUUCCUUCUUCCUUCCUCCCUUUUUUCUUUUCUCCCUUCCUUCCUUCUUAAUAUGUUUUUGGCCUUUUCUUUAUAUAUGUGGCCUAGCAAUAUCCUGUGUUUGGAAAAGUAUAAACCUAAGGCAUCACCUUUACAGAAAAUAUCUUCCACGGAAACAUCUAAAGGCAAAAAUCCUUCAAAUUCAAAUUUAUCCAAUCAUUUCUUCUGCUUACUACCAUCCUAAAUCAUUUUUCUUUAGUAAGAUCUAUUAGUGUGAAGCUAUUAAGCUAUUAAUGUAUGUAUCAUAUUAAUGUAUUAAGACAUUAAGGCCACAGAUCAGCCCUGGGGUUCAGAGGGAUCCUGACAGCUACUCCUCAAGAUCCUCUCUGUUGUGAUUCAUCCCCCCGGGGCCCUACAGUUUCUCCUUCCUGACUCUUACAUUUCUUUGGAUGGCAUCAUUAUUUACCUGUCUCCUCCCAUAGUUAGGUGCCAAGCACUGUGGAUUCUGCCUCUCAGUGUCCAGACACCCAUUUUCCUUCCCACUGUUCCUUCCCCAUGGAGAAGCCUGUGGCUGGCUGACAGCAGAGAGAGAUGCUCAACUUGGAGAAGGUGUUACCUGGGCCAGGUGGGGAAGGUUUGUUUGCAGAGCAAAGAAGUGAAGGAAGUAUUAACCCUUUGCAUGGCCUCCUGAGAAUCCGACAAGACGUAAAUAGCCAAGAAUAUCUGUGAAACUUCAUCACUGAGUUACAAUAUUUAUCACUGCAAGUGUGUUGUUCAUUGACACUAUAAAGCCAUGUGGAAUUAAGCAGCCUUGAAACACAAAAUGGAGAAAGGCUAAGAGCUGAGA
rnacentral:lncRNA from 1 species